ensembl:lncRNA
UAAAUGUCCCCUUAAUUUGCCUUUAAUUCCUCAGAAGUAGGAAUAGUAAACUCAACCUGGUUCAGACUUCUGGCAUUUACUAGGGCUGAUUUCCAGAAGGUUUUUAUUCCUGAACCAAUAUGAUCAUACAGUUAAACCACCUUUUUAUAUCCAUGAUAAUUGUACCGAUAAUGUUGACGAACAUGUUCUUGUUUCUCCCCAACAUCUACCACCUCUCUGGACUUUGAGUCAAGUCACUUUACAGUGCUUCAUUCUUUGAAAAAUUAUGAAGUUUUUUGCCCUCCUCUUAGUAGUCACAGAUAUAAACACAAAAUGUAAAUGUGACCUGAAAACAUGAUGUGUAAAUUAUUUAAAAGAAAACAUUCUUAUUAUAUCACCUUAUAACAUUUGUACUCUUUGUUCACUUUCCCAUGAGUUAAGUUUAAUAGCAGCAUAGCCAGCCUUUUUUGAGCCUGUUCAAUCUCUAUAUAUAACAGGCUUCUUCCUAAGUGCUUUGGGGAUGAAAAAGAAAAGGCAGCAGUCCAGUGGGGAGCUUAAUCCUGGAUCCUCGCAGAAGGAAGGGCGCUUAGAAGGCCCUAAAUAAGGAAUAUAAAGUCCAAAAUUAUUUGCUAAGCUUUCCAUCUUGAAAAGCUAAUUAGUUACCUCCUUCACAAACUUGUAUGGAAGAUAAAAUAUAUUCAACAUUCAAUAGAGUAUAAUACAGAUGAUGUUUUAUAAUAAAGAAGUUAGAAGCAGAAAUAUGUGGAUAAAAAUAUAUUCUCAAGUAGCUCAAGAGAGGCUUAAUGAACACUUACCCUUCUAAGCAGGUCUGGAAGUUUGGAGACCAUUGUCAAAUAGUGUCUCAGGGAAGCAUUGCACCCUGAGAACCUGGAGCAGGGGCAGUCUCGGAAGACCAUGUAUUUGAGUUGGCUGGAGCACAGGAGUAGACAAAAGGAGUGAUAGUAAAUGUAGUUGGAAGAAUAGGUUGGCAGUUACAUCAUGAUUUCUGAGUGCAUGUAAUGCCAUCCAAAAGAGUUCACACUUUAUUCAAAGGAGCGUAUUUUCAUGUCUCUUAGCAGAGUAUGGCUCAAAAAUUAUACUUUAGUAGAAUCCUCUGACAGCAGUGUGUUUGCUAAAUUGAAUGAGACUGGAAUAAAUAAAAGAAAUCAAUACAAUACAGAAAAAAGACAUUAAGAAAGAAUAACUGAUGGGUUGUUAGAUAUCCAGAAAUAUCUGUCUUGCUUUUCUAUUUAUUUUCUAUCAUGUUUUAUUAUUUCAAGAUUAUGGUUGGCUAACUAGUGAACAUGUUGAGUGCUACACACUCAACACCAUUCUGAGUGUUUUACAUGUAAAUAAUUCCUUAGUCAUCUUAGCAAUUCUGUGGCUAAUAAUAAUAAUACUAGUUGUUAUGGCUGUUGUUGUUGUUAUUCCAUUGUACACAUGAGGAAACGGAAGAGAGUUUUAUUAGCUUUUCUAAGACUGCACAAUAGGGUGUGACAAAUCUUGCUCUGAACCCGAGCCGAUUAACCCCAGAGUCAGCCAGCAGCCUCACUGACGUGCAGUACAACCCUUGACUACGCAACAUAGUGUGUUUCACUGAAAGAAGCUGAUACUUGCUCAUAGUAACCCCAU